rnacentral:rRNA from 1 species
CAGGCUUAACACAUGCAAGUCGAGGGGCAGCAUGGUCUUAGCUUGCUAAGGCCGAUGGCGACCGGCGCACGGGUGAGUAACACGUAUCCAACCUGCCGUCUACUCUUGGACAGCCUUCUGAAAGGAAGAUUAAUACAAGAUGGCAUCAUGAGUCCGCAUGUUCACAUGAUUAAAGGUAUUCCGGUAGACGAUGGGGAUGCGUUCCAUUAGAUAGUAGGCGGGGUAACGGCCCACCUAGUCUUCGAUGGAUAGGGGUUCUGAGAGGAAGGUCCCCCACAUUGGAACUGAGACACGGUCCAAACUCCUACGGGAGGCAGCAGUGAGGAAUAUUGGUCAAUGGGCGAGAGCCUGAACCAGCCAAGUAGCGUGAAGGAUGACUGCCCUAUGGGUUGUAAACUUCUUUUAUAAAGGAAUAAAGUCGGGUAUGCAUACCCGUUUGCAUGUACUUUAUGAAUAAGGAUCGGCUGACUCCGUGCCAGCAGCCGCGGUAAUACGGAGGAUCCGAGCGUUAUCCGGAUUUAUUGGGUUUAAAGGGAGCGUAGAUGGAUGUUUAAGUCAGUUGUGAAAGUUUGCGGCUCAACCGUAAAAUUGCAGUUGAUACUGGAUAUCUUGAGUGCAGUUGAGGCAGGCGGAAUUCGUGGUGUAGCGGUGAAAUGCUUAGAUAUCACGAAGAACUCCGAUUGCGAAGGCAGCCUGCUAAGCUGCAACUGACAUUGAGGCUCGAAAGUGUGGGUAUCAAACAGGAUUAGAUACCCUGGUAGUCCACACGGUAAACGAUGAAUACUCGCUGUUUGCGAUAUACAGCAAGCGGCCAAGCGAAAGCGUUAAGUAUUCCACCUGGGGAGUACGCCGGCAACGGUGAAACUCAAAGGAAUUGACGGGGGCCCGCACAAGCGGAGGAACAUGUGGUUUAAUUCGAUGAUACGCGAGGAACCUUACCCGGGCUUAAAUUGCAGAUGAAUUACGGUGAAAGCCGUAAGCCGCAAGGCAUCUGUGAAGGUGCUGCAUGGUUGUCGUCAGCUCGUGCCGUGAGGUGUCGGCUUAAGUGCCAUAACGAGCGCAACCCUUGUUGUCAGUUACUAACAGGUUCCGCUGAGGACUCUGACAAGACUGCCAUCGUAAGAUGUGAGGAAGGUGGGGAUGACGUCAAAUCAGCACGGCCCUUACGUCCGGGGCUACACACGUGUUACAAUGGGGGGUACAGAGGGCCGCUACCACGCGAGUGGAUGCCAAUCCCAAAAACCUCUCUCAGUUCGGACUGGAGUCUGCAACCCGACUCCACGAAGCUGGAUUCGCUAGUAAUCGCGCAUCAGCCACGGCGCGGUGAAUACGUUCCCGGGCCUUGUACACACCGCCCGUCAAGCCAUGGGAGCCGGGGGUACCUGAAGUGCGUAACCGCGAGGAGCGCCCUAGGGUAAAACUGGUGACUGGGGCUA